UGAUCCAGAGUACCACGGGACACGUGAAACCCUGUGGGAAGCAGGAGGGACCAUCCUCCAAGGCUAAAUACUACUUAGUGACCGAUAGCGCAUAGUACCGUGAGGGAAAGGUGAAAAGAACCCCGGGAGGGGAGUGAAAUAGAACCUGAAACCCUGCGCUUACAAGCUGUGGAAGCACUUUAUAUGUGUGACCGCGUACUUUUUGUAGAACGGGCCAACGAGUUACGAUAGUAAGCUAGGUUAAGUACUUAAGGUAUGGAGCCGUAGUGAAAGCGAGUCUUAAAUGGGCGUUAAGUUUGCUGUCGUAGACCCGAAACCGAGCGACCUAUCCAUGAGCAGGAUGAAGCGAAAGUAAAAUUUCGUGGAGGUCCGAACCCACGAGCGUUGAAAAGCUCGGGGAUGACUUGUGGAUAGCGGUGAAAUUCCAAUCGAGCUCGGAGAUAGCUGGUUCUCCCCGAAAUAGCUUUAGGGCUAGCCUCAAGGUUGAGAAAUACGGAGGUAGAGCACUGAAUAUCCUAGGGGGCAUUGCGCUUACCGAAGAUUAUCAAACUCCGAAUGCCGUUAUUUUAUACUUGGGAGUCAGACUGUGGGUAAUAAGAUUCAUAGUCGAGAGGGCAACAGCCCAGAUCGUCAGCUAAGGUCCCUAAAUGUAAGUUAAGUGGUAAAGGAUGUGGGAUUGCAUAGACAACCAGGAUGUUGGCUUAGAAGCAGCCACUCAUUUAAAGAGUGCGUAAUAGCUCACUGGUCGAGUGAUCCUGCGCCGAAGAUUACCGGGGCUAAAACUUACUACCGAAGCUACGAUAUCAUUUAUGAUAGGUAGGGGAGCUUCCUAUGCAGGCUGAAGCAUGACCGUAAGGACGUGUGGACAGUAUAGGAGUGAGAAUGUUGGCAUGAGUAGCGAGACGUGGGUGAGAAUCCCACGGGCCGUAAACCCAAGGUUUCCAGGGGAAGGUUCGUCCGCCCUGGGUUAGUCGGGACCUAAGCCGAGGCCGAAAGGCGUAGGUGAUGGACAACAGGUUGAGAUUCCUGUACCACCGAUAAUCGUUUGAGAGAUGGAAUGACACAGUAGGAUAAGCUAACCACACUGUUGGUUAUGUGUGGCUAAGUACUGAGGCAGUCAAGGCAGGCAAAUCCGCCAUGAUAAUGCUGGGGUACGAUGGGGAGCGAAAUUAAGUAGCGAAGUAGCUGAUUUCACACUGUCGAGAAAAGUUUCUAUCGAGAUUAAAGGUGCCCGUACCGCAAACCGACACAGGUGGGUGAGGAGAGUAUCCUAAGGCCAGCGAGAGAACUGUUGUUAAGGAACUCGGCAAAAUGACCCCGUAACUUAGGGAGAAGGGGUGCCACGUUAGGGUUAACGCCCGAGGUGGCCGCAGAGAAUAGGCCCAAGCGACUGUUUACCAAAAACACAGGUUUCUGCUAAGUCGCAAGACGAUGUAUAGGAGCUGACGCCUGCCCGGUGCUGGAAGGUUAAGGGGAUCUGUUAGGAUUUAUCCGAAGCAGUGAACUUAAGCCCCAGUAAACGGCGGCCGUAACUAUAACGGUCCUAAGGUAGCGAAAUUCCUUGUCGGGUAAGUUCCGACCCGCACGAAAGGCGUAACGAUUUGGGGCUUGACAUUGAAUUUUGGUGCUACAUGUACAGGAUAGGUGGGAGGCUAUGAAAUCGGGACGCCAGUCUCGGUGGAGCCAUCCUUGGGAUACCACCCUUGUAGUACUGAGAUUCUAACCAGAUACCUUGAAUCAGGUAUUGGGACACUGUCAGGUGGGCAGUUUGACUGGGGCGGUCGCCUCCCAAAGAGUAACGGAGGCGCUCAAAGGUUCUCUCAGCACGGUCGGAAAUCGUGCGUAGAGUGUAAAGGCAGAAGAGAGCUUGAUUGCAAGACAUACAGGUCGAGCAAGGACGAAAGUCGGACUUAGUGAUCCGGUGGUUCCGCAUGGAAGGGCCAUCGCUCAACGGAUAAAAGCUACCCUGGGGAUAACAGGCUUAUCUCCCCCAAGAGUCCACAUCGAC
rnacentral:rRNA from 1 species